rnacentral:rRNA from 1 species
AUCGGCAGCCAUAUCACCCCGUAACCCAAGACGGGUCACUCACUGAAGCUAAGCAGGGCUGAGCCUGGUCAGUACCUGGAUGGGAGACCUCCUGGGAAAACUAGGUUGCUGCUGGAA